rnacentral:lncRNA from 1 species
GUGUUUCCAACACACUUGCCCAUAGUGUCUCAUGUAUGUGAUUCUAAGCUAAAGAUGUGAGAAAAUUCCCGUAAUAAAAAAGGGAAUGCUAUAGCCUGGAUCUUUGUGUUUCCCUAGGCCCAGGCUUGUUCCCUGGAGUAGCACUACUGAGAGGUGGUGAAAACUUGACGAGGGAUUGAACUUGGGUCCUUGUGCUUAUGCAGCAGGCGGCGAAACCACUGAGCUAAAUCCCCGGCCCUCUAAUGAAAUUUCUUGGGACAGUGGAGAAGGCACAGGCUCAGAAGGGAGAUGCAAAAUAAGCAUGUCUGCUUCCUUGUUGCCCCGUUUGCAGAUGGUGACACUAGGCACAGAAGCCCGGUGGACCAACUUGGCGCAGGAAUUCAAUGAGACUCAAGUUAGGUACAAGGUAAGUGGGUUAGGUCUAUGACUAAGCGCAGGUGUCAUCAGCUCCUGGAGGCCCAGAUUUCUGCCUGAGCCAGUUUGCUUUGAAUGAAGAACGAAGCCAAGGCACCCUAAGAAACACGGCUGAGGAGCCCCAUCAUAACCUUCUUCUUGUUGUCCCCCAGGAUUAGCCAGUUACUUCCACUGAAAGUGGUGACCGGCAGGAAAGAGAAGUUAGGCAGCUCAUGUUUCCUUUCCUUCCAGUCCUUCCUUUCUCUCCAGCAGGCUGAAGAUACAGAGUGUUGUAGAACACACACCAAAAAGUAGAACUCAGGGAAUCGGGUUCAUUUUAUAAUUUUAUAAUUGGCUCAUUUUAUAAUUUCUGUAAUUUCAGUUAAAAUUGCACUGCAUGAUACAAAGAUGAGUGGUAUAAUUUACACUAAUAAUUUAAAAUUUUAAUGUGUCAUAGAAUGACAUUGACUAGCACCUAAAAACACUAUGACAAGUUGAGAGAAAGACCACGAAGGAAAGGAAAAAGCUUUGUAUUUGCAAACUUUCAGUGGCCUCCUCCUCUCUGACUGUUGAGCAAGAGGCCCUGCACACGGUCUGAGCAGCGCCCUGUGGGCUUCAGUGGCUGCUGGUGGCGUGCUGCCACGUCCUGUUCCUGGGCGCCACAGUCAUUUGCGAGCUCUUGUGUGGGUCACAGGUGCCCCCUUCUCUUGGUACUCAUCCCAGGCUGAUGGGAGGCGCCCGCCACAGCCAGGCCUGGCUGAUGUGGGAAUGAGGCGGCAGCUCAGUGGUAACUCUGCAGUGCGGUCUGUGCUUCCCUGGGGCAUCAGGCCAAGGCCAGGCUUCACUCAGACCCCAGCCCUGCCUCACUCUCCUCUCCGGACCCACUUCCCU